rnacentral:rRNA from 1 species
CUAGCGACUUCAGAGUUUGAUCCUGGCUCAGGAUGAACGCUGGCGGCGUGCCUAAUACAUGCAAGUCGAACGAAUCACUUCGGUGGUUAGUGGCGAACGGGUGAGUAAUACGUAAGCAACCUGCCUAUGGGACUGGGAUAACGUUUGGAAACGGACGCUAAUACCGGAUAGGUAGAGAGGAGGCAUCUCUUCUCUAUUAAAGUUUAGAUACACCGAUAGAUGGGCUUACGGCGCAUUAGCUAGUUGGUGAGGUAACGGCUCACCAAGGCGAUGAUGCGUAGCCGGACUGAGAGGUUGAACGGCCACAUUGGGACUGAGACACGGCCCAA